rnacentral:misc_RNA from 1 species
CGGAAGGUGCGGCUGGAUCACCUCCUUUCUAAGGAGCACCACGAAAAGCACCCCAACUGGUGGGGUGCGAGCCGUGAGGGGUUCCCGUCUGUAGUGGACGGGGGCCGGGUGCGCAACAGCAAAUGAUUGCCAGACACACUAUUGGGCCCUGAGACAACACUCGGUCCGUCCGUGUGGAGUCCCUCCAUCUUGGUGGUGGGGUGUGGUGUUUGAGUAUUGGAUAGUGGUUGCGAGCAUCUAGAUGAGCGCAUGGUCUUCGUGGCCGGCGUUCAUCGAAAUGUGUAAUUUCUUUUUUAACUCUUGUGUGUAAGUAAG